ACCAACAGCUAGCUCUCUGCAACCACUGAAGCUAAGCACGGCUGCACCUGGUCAGUACCUGGAUAGGAGACCACAUGGGAAAACUGGGUUGCUGCCGGAA
rnacentral:rRNA from 1 species